CCCCUAGAUGUUCUGGGCCGCACGCGCGCUACACUGAACAGUUCAACAAGUCUUAACCUUGGCCGAUAGGUCUGGGUAAUCUUUGAACGCUGUUCGUGAUUGGGAUAGACCUUUGCAAUUAUGGGUCUUCAACGAGGAAUUCCUAGUAAACGCAAGUCAUCAGCUUGCAUUGAUUACGUCCCUGCCCUUUGCACACACCGCCCGUCGCACCUACCGAUUGAAUGGUCCGGUGAAAUCUCGGGACGGCGGCUUGGUCGCUUGCGUCCGACUGCUGAAACUUGAUUAAACCAUAUCAUUUAGAGGAAGGUGAANUCGUANCA
rnacentral:rRNA from 1 species